rnacentral:lncRNA from 1 species
UUUUUUUUUUUUUUUUUUUCUUCAAUCUUUAAAGGUUAAACUUUCCAAAUGUGUUCUGGAGCAGAGCUCUAGCAAUUGUCUUUCAGAAUAAAUUUAGCUUUUUUUGAUCAAAAAAGGUUAAAUUUCCACAAAAGCUUCCUUUCAUAAACCUGUUUACAUCCUCACAUCAAAUACAGUUGUUCAGUACAAAGAAAAUGAGCAGAACUAAAGCUUCUGGUCAGGUUUCCAUCUCUGUCACCAGAGGCUGACUGAGAUUUCAUUGUUUUGGAAUUGGAUUCUAUUUAUUCCACCUCCCCCCAAACGUUCAGAUGUGAUUUUUUCUCUGGUAACCUUUUAGGAGCCACUCUGCAAACGGGAUGAAUGCAAAAAAGGUGUGGCUCAGAAAGUGCUGAUUCAUGAGGUUUUUAAGCAGACAAGAUAAACCAGAAAGUUCAAGGAAGAGAUUUCCUGGAAUUCUAAUGGAAGGAAUGUUUAUUUACUUUCCUGCAGUUAAUGAAACACUGAAUUAUUUCCAUCACAUUUCAUUUAAACUGCUGUUUUUCAUAAGAAUUUGGGGGUUGAGACAAAUUUCAAAGCAACUUCUUCAGAGCUAUCAAAAGAUUCUUUUGCUUCAUGAUUUUGCAUUUAACAUUUUCAUUAUUUUGCUUCUUUAAUGUUCAUAAUGCUUUUAAACUUCUAUACUACCUGCGGAGGUGUGGAGUCUUUCAGUUAUUUUUAAUGCACUUAUUUUUCUCUAAAAACACAUUUUUACUGCAAGUUUUUAGUAAAAACAAAAUUGCCAAGUAAAGGCUGAAGAAAUUCCUCCAGAUCCCUCUUUUUUAGAGCAACAUGUCCCUCAAAUCUCUCUGCAGCCUGGAAAAAAAAGAUUAAAAAAACAUGAUUCCCAGCUGUUUUAUGUGGCCUAAGCAUCAUCAGCUGUCUCCUGCUUGGUCAGUUUGGCAGGGGCAGGACCUCACCAGCUCCCAGCUCCCUUCUCAGAUCAAAAUUUAAAAAUAAAUUGAUAAAACCAGGUGGUUCUGAGGCAUCACAGCACUUUUGAGUCGCAGAACACAGCUCUGAGCUACACCCAGCAAGGAGCAGCUCCCAUCCACCCCAGCCCCAGCUGCCUUAUAAACGAUUGUGGUGAUCAAAGAUCGGAUUUUAACUAGAAAAUUCCCUUUUUCUCCCUCUCACCCCGUGCAGGAACCACCCGAGACCCUUGCAGGAGCCCAGGGGAGUUACUCACAUGCCAGGCACAGGGCUGCCAGCACCAGGAGCACCAGGGUGACCUUCAUGGCUGUCCCAGAGCCACCUCAGCUCCCGGCAGUGUCCCUGCUGCCCAUGGCCAGGGGAGGCAUUUAUAGGCAGGAGCUGGUGCUGGAAUGCCCGUGCAGGUAAUUAGGGAAGGUGUUGCCAGGGCAGGUCAGUGGGAUGUGUCCUGGGCACGGGGCAGGGCUGCGUGUCCCGGUGCUGAUGGAGCAGGCAUUGUCCUGCCUGAGCCCAGCCUAAUUAACCAGCCUAAUUAACUGUCCCAGCCCAGCAGCCAGGCUCUGACUCAGGGCUGCUGCUCUGUUAUUGCUGUGGGGACUCAGAGCUGAACGCAGUUCCCAGGGAAAAAUAAUCCUGCCUGGGUCUUUGCCAAAAUAUUAAUCCCAGAAGGGUUUAAUUCUUAUUCUUUGGGGCGUUUUGGAGCCGUUUCUCAGCUGUGGUUGGAGCUGAGCUGCUUGUGGCCAUGCACUGAGCCCUUCAGCUGCUCUGGGAAAUCUGUGUUCAGCUUGAAGCCCUUCACAGCCAGCCCAGAGCAUCCCCAGGGCUCCUUUUCCUUUCAAAUGUGCCCAGUUUGGGGCCAGCCCUGAUGUUCUGGGAGAGGAGCAGCAGAGACACCCCCGGGCACGGCCUGACCAGGGUGAGAGGAGUUCCCAGCCCUGGGCAUCCCCUGAGCUCCUGCCCAGCCUUGGGCACAGGGGACAUCCCUCUGCCUGCCCCUCUGCUCCCAUGUCCCUGUUUCCAGCUUAAACAAACCCUGCAUUUGUUGGUGACUUUUGCAGCAAUUUCUGUCUUUUAUCACAGGGCCCUGGGGGAGUCCCCAUGGGACACUCAGAUGUGAGUUUGGAGGUGAUAGUUUGGUUUCAACCCUUCCUUCCAGAGUUGCUUUCUCUUAGUGAUUUACCACGUAAACGUGUAAAAAUCUCAACAAGAAGAAUCCCUGCACACCACCUCAAUUCCCAGUAUUUCAGCGAUCACCUUCCCAUACUGCAGGGCAGCCCAGAGCUUUCUCCCUGUGCAGGAUUGGGGCCAGAGGUGUUCAUUCCAGUAAAACAAGGGCCUGAAAGCUCCUGCAGAAAAUAUUUCAAUAGGUCAGGUAAGCCUUGGGCCCCUCUAACUCAUCCCAAGAGGGAUACAAACAAUUUUGUCUUUAAAGAAUAUAGGUAAUUAAUCAAUGUUUAAUUUCUCAUUGCUUAACAGGAUGAAAAACAUAAAUGCCAUCAAAUCUGAAUUCCAGGAUGAGCAAAGUUCCAGUUGGAGCUGGAGGCCUGGAAUUUUAUUUGGUUUUGUUCUAAUUUUUUUUUUCCCCUUUCUUAAUUUGGCCAUCUGUUCCUGUGAGGCUGAGAGGACAAAAGGCAGGGUGGGGUUGGUCUGGAUCCCCCUGCUUGGGGCUGUCAGUUCUGGGGAGCUUUUCUGGAGAAAAUCCUGGCAAGGAACAUGCAGGAACUCGGGAGUAUUCAGGACACGUCCUUGGUGAUGGACAAUCAUGAGCAAUUAGGGCAACAGGAGCAAAAUCCAAACCAUGCAGGAAGUUCCCCUUGAUCUGGAGGAUUUUGGGCACACACAGCUCCCGGGGGUGUCCUGACACUAAAACUGCAGCCUGGCAGGUCCUGAUCCUGGAACGAGGAAAGGCCCCAGCCCAGUGCUCCCAGUGUCCCCUGGGAUGCAGCCCCAGCAUCCAUCCCAUCCCAUCCCAUCCCAUCCCAUCCCAUCCCAUCCCAUCCCAUCCCAUCCCAUCCCAUCCCAUCCCAUCCCAUCCCAUCCCAUCCCAUCCCAUCCCAUCCCAUCCCAUCCCAUCCCAUCCCAUCCCAUCCCAUCCCAUCCCAUCCCAUCCCUCUCAGGGAAUACAAACCUCUCUCUGCACCCUGGCCCGUUCAUGCAGGAAGAUUUUCCAGCUCUGCACUUGAAUUUCAGUCCAUAAUUCCCAAAGUGUCCCUGGUGAGGCUGGAGCUGCUGCUCUGGGACAAUUCUGGGCUCCCUGCAGGGAAAGGCACUGAAAUGCUGGAGCAGAGGCAGUGAGGGAACACCGAGUGCUGAGGGCGUGAAACACAGAGGAAAACUUGGGAGAAGGGGUUGGUUCCAUUUGGAGAUGGAGGGAACAGAGGGAACAGGCGCCAGGGCCCUCCUGGAGCUGCAGGAUGAAAGGAAGAGGGAACAGAGCAAAUUGCAGGGAGAGAAAUUCCAAUUAGAAUUGGGGCAAAACAAAUUUCACAACGAGAGGAGUCAAUCACGGAGACAGGUUGCCCACAGAGAUCAGUGGAGAUAGUGAAAAUGGGUCUGGGCAAAGGGCGUGGGCAUCCAGGUGACCUCCGUGGGCCAUUCCAAUGGAACUGGGUCUGGCAUUCCCACAGGAGAAUGCCAACUGCUGCUGGCAUUUUCAGAGACCUUGUGGUGCCUUUGUCCUCAGAAAUGAACGUUUGACAAAGCAAACAUGGGCAGUGAAGCACCACAAUGGGAAAAAAGUUCAUUGGGAAACAACUGUUGGGAUGUGUAUGGGAACAGCUGCUUCCCAAAGCUGGGUUAGUAAGGCCUAAUUGCUGAACUCAUUCUGAAAUUUAGGGUAAAUAUGGAAAACAAAUAGUUUAUAUCGAAGAAUUGUGAGAGCAAUUUUGCCCUCAUCAGCAAACCCAUGAAUACCUGUAAGUUAAUUGUGGAACUCGUGUAAUUUUAUACAUUUGCCAUUAUGUCUUGGUUUUACCCCAAAUUCUUAUCCCUCCAAACUGAUCUUUACAAGAAGAAAAAGCAAUUCCAUGGUGUUACAUGUGGUAAAAUAUUAGUGUGCAUUUUUCUGAGGGUAAGAAAUUUUUCCCAAUUAUUAUUUACUCCAAAUUUUAGAUAGCUUUUAGUUUUGGAGGCCUGGUUGGAGCACCACUGGGAUGCCAAAAUUGCUGCUGCAGCAGGUAAUUAGUUAAGUGCAGGAUGUUCCCUGGCUGCAUUCCAGAGGAGGAACCCGCUCCCACUCAUCCGUGGAGAGCCUCCCAUGCAGGGCAUCCUCAGAGAUGACGAAUAGCACGUGGAAAAGGUGCAAAAACCACGUUGUCACUGGGAGGGAGGGUCUGGCUGAGGCUGCUGCAGCCACAGAGGGACCUCCCCUCCCUGGUAUCCCGGGGUGUUUUUAUCCCCAGGCCCAGGAGGGUGGGUGGCUCAGGGUUGUCCGCCCAGGUGCAAUUAAAGCAUCAGAUUUUGAAGUCUUGCUCAAUGCAGGGUUUGAGAACCAAGGACUGCCUUUGUUCAGGCUGUGCCACAGCCUUUGGGUGUUUGCCUGGGAAAGGAGAUGAUGCCUUCACUUUGAGCUUUCAUGUUUUCCACACUCUGUACUGCAUUGGUACAGAGCUCUGAACUCCAUGUAAAGUGUCAGCAAGUUCUGCUCACAGCUCAGCACACAGAACAAUCCUUUUCCAGCCCAGAACCACUCAGGCACACAGAACAAUCCUUUUCCAGCCCAGAACCAGCUCAGGCACACUGAACAAUCCUUUUCCAGCCCAGAACCAAGGACACCGCUGCAGCUCCAGCCCCAAAAAGUGCAAACAGCAGGAAUGGAGGAGAGCAGCCUGGCAGGGUGGGACUGCAUCACCUGGAGCUGGAAUUGGACAAUGAACCCUAACAUGGAAAUGGACCCAAACUCAUAAAAGUGUCAAAACUCGUGACCAGGAGCCCACCUGGGGUGGAGCCACGGCCGGGCUCUUGCAGUGCCCAAGGUAUAUCCUGUGAAGGCCUUUCCAUAAAUCCCUGCUUUAUUCCUGUGACUCUGCCCAGCCUCUGCCCAGGCAGCCUCUGAAGGCAUCAGUGAGUUCCCCACUUUGCACUCCUGUGGAGAUCAGAGGAGCCUUUCUUCAGCACUGCAGGUGUCAGGCCAGGCCAGAGCCCCACUGAAGGUCUCAUGUGCUGCCUCAGAAACUAAAAAUAAA